CUCGAGGCCAGAUCUAGAGUUUGAUCCUGGCUGAGAUUGAACGCUGGCGGCAUGCCUUACACAUGCAAGUCGAACGGCAGCAUGGGAGCUUGCUCCUGAUGGCGAGUGGCGAACGGGUGAGUAAUAUAUCGGAACGUGCCCUAGAGUGGGGGAUAACUAGUCGAAAGACUAGCUAAUACCGCAUACGAUCUACGGAUGAAAGUGGGGGAUCGCAAGACCUCAUGCUCCUGGAGCGGCCGAUAUCUGAUUAGCUAGUUGGUGGGGUAAAAGCCUACCAAGGCGACGAUCAGUAGCUGGUCUGAGAGGACGACCAGCCACACUGGGACUGAGACACGGCCCAGACUCCUACGGGAGGCAGCAGUGGGGAAUUUUGGACAAUGGGGGCAACCCUGAUCCAGCAAUGCCGCGUAAGUGAAGAAGGCCUUCGGGUUGUAAAGCUCUUUUGUCAGGGAAGAAACGGUAGUAGCUAAUAUCUAUUACUAAUGACGGUACCUGAAGAAUAAGCACCGGCUAACUACGUGCCAGCAGCCGCGGUAAUACGUAGGGUGCAAGCGUUAAUCGGAAUUACUGGGCGUAAA
rnacentral:rRNA from 1 species